GAUGAACGCUAGCGGCAGGCCUAAUACAUGCAAGUCGAACGGUGUCUUCGGACAUAGUGGCGCACGGGUGCGUAACACGUAUGCAACCUACCUUACAUUGGGGGAUAGCCUUUCGAAAGGGAGAUUAAUACCGCAUAAGACAGUAGCUGGGCAUCCAGCAGCUGUUAAAGAUUUAUCGAUGUAAGCUGGGCAUGCGUCCAAUUAGCUAGUUGGUGAGGUAACGGCUCACCAAGGCAAUGAUUGGUAGGGGAACUGAGAGGUCAAUCCCCCACACGGGCACUGAGAUACGGGCCAGACUCCUACGGGAGGCAGCAGUAGGGAAUAUUGGGCAAUGGACGCAAGUCUGACCCAGCCAUGCCGCGUGCAGGAUGAAGGCGUUAUGCGUUGUAAACUGCUUUUAUACAGGAAGAAACGACUCUUGCGAGGUAAAUUGACGGUACUAUAUGAAUAAGCACCGGCUAACUCCGUGCCAGCAGCCGCGGUAAUAC
rnacentral:rRNA from 1 species